rnacentral:misc_RNA from 1 species
GAUGGGGUUGAGGUUAAACUUGGAACUACUAAUAGUUUCUGUAAGGAUACUCCGGGACCGUGUGAUCCACAGGUCACUACACUUCUUGAUGUGGCUGGUGGUUUUGGAUAUCCAUUGUCUUUGGCUGAGUCUUGGAAGGGGAAUGAUGCUUGUAAUAGUUGGAGUUUUAUAAGUUGUGAUACCACUGGGAAGAAUGUAGCUGUUGUUACCUUAGGUAAGAGGGGGUUUUCAGGUACUAUUUCGCCUGCUUUUGCGAAUUUGACUUCGUUGAGGAGCUUGUUUUUGAAUGACAAUAAUCUUACUGGUACGAUCCCGGAGAGGUUGACAACUUUGCCUAAUUUACAAGUUCUUGAUGUGUCUAAUAAUAAUUUGUCUGGACCUAUACCAUUGUUUCCACCUAGAGUGAAGUUCAAUCAUAAUGGUAACUUGUUUCUUGGGACGAAUAUUACUACUGGGGAU